rnacentral:rRNA from 1 species
AUGGGUGCCGCCGGUGGCCGUGGUGCCAUGCGUCUCCGUGCCGGUCAUUCCAGUGUUACCGUGCUGCUCAUAGGUGCCGCCGCCGGCCGGGGUGCCAUGCGUCGCCGUGCCGGUGUGUCCCUGCUGCCCGUAGGCUCCACCGGUCUGCUGGUGGUCACCGUGGCCACCAGGGAGCUUGUCCUUGAUGUUCUCCAUGACGGCCUUCUUCUCGCCAGUGCCGUGUGUCCCCGUGCCGGUCAUCCCAGUGUGUCCGUGCUGCUCAUAGGUGCCGCCGCCAGCCGGGGUGCCAUGUGUCGCCGCGCCGGUGUGUCCCUGCUGCCCGUAGGUGCCACCGGUCUGCUGGUGGUCACCGUGGCCACCAGGGAGCUUGUCCUUGAUGUUCUCCAUGAGGCCCUUCUUCUCGCCGGUGCCGUGCGUCCCCGUGCCGGUCACUCCAGCGUGUCCCUGCUCCCCAUAGGUGCCACCGGUCGCCGGGGUGCCAUGCGUCCCCGUGGCGACGUGUCCCUGCUGCCCGUAGGUGCCAGCGGUCUGUUGGUUGUCACCAUGGCCACCAGGGAGCUUCUCCUUGAUGUUCUCCAUGAGGCUCUUCUUCUCGCCGAUGUCGUGCGUCCCCGUGCCGGUCACUCCGGUAUGUCUUUGCUCCCCGUAGCUGCCACCGGUCGCCGUGCCGGUAUGUCCGUGCUCCCCAUAGGUGCCAUUGGUCGCCGGGGUGCCAUGCAUCGCCGUGCCGGUAUGCCCCUGCUGCCCAUAGGUGCCACCAGUCGCAAGGGUGCCAUGCGUCGCCGUACCGGUAUGUCCCUGCUGCCCAUAGGUGCCACCAGUCUGCUGGUGGUCAGCAUGGCCACCGGGGAGCUUGUCCUUGAUGUUCUCCAUGACGCCCUUCUUCUCGCCGGCGUGGGCGCCAUGCAACCCCGUGCCGGUGGUUCCGGUGUGACCCUCCUGCCCGUAGGCACCACCAGUGGCCGGGGCGCCAUGCGUCACCGUGCCGGCGUGCCCGUGGGCGCCAGCGGUCUCCUUGUGGUCACCGUGGCCGCCGGGGAGCUUCUCCUUGAUCUUCUCCAUGAUGCCCUUCUUCUCGCCGGCGCCGUGUGCUUGGUGGUCCAUCUUGAGCCGACCUUCUCAGUCGUGAAAUCCACUAGUGCUGCUGUGUUUACUUCUCUUGCUUGUGUGGUGCAGGUGGUUGUGUAA